rnacentral:rRNA from 1 species
UGCGAACGCUAGCGGCGAGCUUAACACAUGCAAGUCGAGCGGAGGGUUUCGGCCCUCAGCGGCGGACGGGUGAGUAACACGUAGGUUACGUGCCCUUUGGUGGGGAAUAACUUAGGGAAACCUGAGCUAAUACCGCAUAUGCCCUUCGGGUGAAAGUCUUCGGACGCCAGAGGAUCGGCCUGCGGCCCAUUAUUUAAUCCUUGUUGGUGGGGUAACGGCCUACCAAGGGUACGAUGGGUAGCUGGUCUGAGAGGAUGAUCAGCCACACUGGGACUGAGACACGGCCCAGACUCCUACGGGAGGCAGCAGUGGGGAAGUAUUGGACAAUGGGGGAAACCCUGAUCCAGCUACGCCGCGUGGGUGAUGAAGGCCUCGGUU